GAUGAAGAACGUAGCGAAAUGCGAUACGUAAUGUGAAUUGCAGAAUUCAGUGAAUCAUCGAAUCUUUGAACGCAUAUUGCGCUCUCUGGUAUUCCGGAGAGCAUGCUUGUUUGAGUAUCAGUAAACACCUCAACUUCCAUAUCUUUUUUGAAAUGGGAGUUGGACUUGAGUGAUCCCAACGCUUUUCCUCACCGAAAAGUGGCGGGUUACUUGAAAUGCAGGUGCAGCUGGACUUUUCUCUGAGCGAUAAGCAUAUCUAUUUAGUCUGCCUAAAAAACAGAUUAUUACCUUUGCUGCAGCUAACAUAAAGGAGAUUAGUUCUUGUGCUGACUGAUGCAGGAUUCACAAAGACAGCUUCGGCCGACUUUGUAAACUCGAUCUCAAAUCAAGUAAGACUACCCGCUGAACUUAAGCAUAUCAAUAAGCGGAGGA
rnacentral:misc_RNA from 1 species